GUUUGAAGAUCACAUGUAGUGGAAUACAAAUCUGCCAAGAUAAGGUUUCCUGAACCAUAAGACUUUUCUGAAUCUUGCAAUUUUUGUGGCACACCCUGCAACAGCAUGAUUUUUGUUAUGGAUGUUUUUACUUCUCUUUAGAAGGCAACCCAGCUUAGAAAUAGUUUCAGAGACAUGAAGCGUGUGAAGUGAAUAACCUGCCAUGUGUAUGCACAUGUACCGGAUCUGCUUGAUGAAAGUCAAAUGCCUUACUAAAUUCAUCACCCAUAUGAUAAGCAUCAGGAAAUUUAUCUCAACAUGUGGAAUAAUGCUGUUUUUUGCUGUGAAUUCAAUUUUUACAGUUUUUCAUCAUGAGCAUUUCUGUGUGCUUAUUAAAAAAAAGAGCACGGAGAUUCUUGUGCCAAUACUGACCUUUGUCCAUGACGGAAGAAG